AUUGAACGCUGGCGGCAGGCCUAACACAUGCAAGUCGAACGGUAACAGGAAACAGCUUGCUGUUUCGCUGACGAGUGGCGGACGGGUGUGUAAUGUCUGGGAAACUGCCUGAUGGAGGGGGAUAACUACUGGAAACGGUAGCUAAUACCGCAUAACGUCGCAAGACCAAAGAGGGGGACCCUCGGGCCUCUUGCCAUCGGAUGUGCCCAGAUGGGAUUAGCUUGUUGGUGGGGUAACGGCUCACCAAGGCGACGAUCCCUAGCUGGUCUGAGAGGAUGACCAGCCACACUGGAACUGAGACACGGUCCAGACUCCUACGGGAGGCAGCAGUGGGGAAUAUUGCACAAUGGGCGCAAGCCUGAUGCAGCCAUGCCGCGUGUAUGAAGAAGGCCUUCGGGUUGUAAAGUACUUUCAGCGGGGAGGAAGGGAGUAAAGUUAAUACCUUGGCUCAUUGACGUUACCCGCAGAAGAAGCACCGGCUAACUCCGUG
rnacentral:rRNA from 1 species